rnacentral:rRNA from 1 species
UACGUAGGGGGCUAGCGUUGCUCGGAAUUACUGGGCGUAAAGGGAGCGUAGGCGGUCAGUUUAGUCAGAGGUGAAAGCCCAGGGCUCAACCUUGGAAUUGCCUUUGAUACUGGCUGUCUUGAGUACGGGAGAGGUGUGUGGAACUCCGAGUGUAGAGGUGAAAUUCGUAGAUAUUCGGAAGAACACCAGUGGCGAAGGCGACACACUGGCCCGUUACUGACGCUGAGGCUCGAAAGCGUGGGGAGCAAACAGG